ACACCUUUCCCGUCAAUGGAAUUUCAACCGAGAGAUAAAGUGACGCAUUUUUAAUGACGUUCUUCAUUACCUCGCAUAUAAAAUCAAGAUAACACAUCAUAUCCAGCCGAGGUUAAAGGUGUUUUUCGUAGUAGUGGUUUUAUAAAAAAAAAUGCAAAAGAUUGAUUUAAAGAAACGUGGUAGAAGUAGAAAUUUAGGCAGCAAAAAAAUGAAAGGCAUAAAGUUAAGAGAUAUAAUUAGAG
rnacentral:lncRNA from 1 species